CAGAUAAGUAAUAAUGUUCUUCAUUUAUUUUCACUGAGUUAAUUUUGUUCAUUUUUUAUUUUCUGUAACUGUCAUAUUGUUUUCUUUGUGGCACCUCUGGGCCUCCGUACUCUGUCGUGCUGCUGGUAUGUCGGCUGGUUGCAGUUUUGGUCGGCCGCCACCGCUCUGCAUACCAACAUGGGCGAGCGGCUCCGGGAGCAGAGAGGGACUGUGGGGGUGGAUGUUGUUUUUUUCGGGGCCCUCCCUCCUCAUUCCCAGCGUCCUCUGGGGGCCUCGGCGAGCCAACAAACCCUCCUCCCUCCUGGAACAGCUAAUCCCUGAAUCCAGUCCAACCGCCACAGCCUCCUCAACCAGCCGCCUGCCAGCACUGCCGGGGAGGCCGCGAGGCGUGUCCUGCUGCCAGCAACACGGCAACGCAACCGGCAACACGUCACACAGAUGACUGACAUGGCAAUGCAACCAGCAACAUGUCACAGAGAUGACGGACACAGCAAUGCAACCAGCAACAUGUCACAGAGAUGACGGACACAGCAAUGCAACCAGCAACAUGUCACAGAGAUGACGGACACGGCAAUGCAACCAGCAACAUGUCACAGAGAUGACUGACACAGCAAUGCAACCAGCAACAUGUCACAGAGAUGACUGACACGGCAAUGCAACCAGCAACAUGUCACAGAGAUGACGGACACAGCAAUGCAACCAGCAACAUGUCACAGAGAUGACUGACACGGCAAUGCAACCAGCAACAUGUCACAGAGAUGACGGACACAGCAAUGCAACCGGCAACUAGCAAAACGGUCGUGAUCUUUACUGGAUUUAGGCCCUGAAGCCUCCAUGUUGGACUACAGAAUGACAUCACAAGCUGCAGGCGAUCUUUGGGGAAGCAGCAACAGUUCUCUACCUGCCAACAGACGGAGCUGAUGUGAUGAAAGCUGCUGAAUGUGCACUCUGACAUCCAGCCAAGCUCUGACUCACUCCGGUUUCCCAACAGACGCCACUUCACCCACUUCUGCUUUCACAGCUACAAGGUGAGAGGUGGACGGAGGAAGUCAUUCAGAGGAAACAGAGUCGGGAUUAAAGCCACGGAGACGCUGAACGAAGAAGGAAAACCUCAAACUUUAUCCACUUUAUGAAACACCUGAGCUUUCUGGACUCAUUUAUUGUAUAGAUAUGGUUCAGCAUGUGUCAAAAAGUCACUAUAAAUACACAUUAGCGUGUGUUUUAAUGGCGGUAAAUGAGAUUAAUUCAAAGAGAAUGUGAAGUAUCGAAGUAAAUAUGAAUAUAUGGAUCUGUAUGUAUGAAAAUGUCAAUGUAAAGGUACGUUAAAGUGCGUUUUAAUUCAGGUAAAUGUGAGUAUAACUAUAAAUUUCAAAGAAUAAAUGGAUAAUAAACGUGACUUUUUGUCAAAAAUAACAACAUCUGUCUGUACAACACAAAAUUGUCAAAACUAAUUUGAAUAAUGGCAAAUAUUAUUUGAAUUUUCUCUAAAAUUACUCACAAUUUGUGUCUAAUAAUAGAAAUAACUGUUAUUGUUUAACUGUGAAUGCAUUUAAUGGAAGUAAAUAUGAAUAUAUGUAUUUGUGAAAAUGUCAAUAUAAAUGUACGUUAAAGUGUGAAUGAAUGCAAAUAAAUGUUAAUAUUAUUAUAAAUUGAUGUUAAUGUGAGCUUUUGUGAAUGUGACGAUAUAAAUAUAAACAUUUUCUGACUAAAAAUGUCCAAAAUUACACAAAAUAUGCAAGAAAAUGGUAAAAAUUUGUCUUUAACGAUGCAAAAAUGUUAAAAACUAACCUAAAAUCUGUCUACAAUUACUUGAAUUUUGACUAAAAUUACUCACAGUUUGAGUCUGAUAAUGGAGGUAAAUGUGAUUAUUGGUUCUGCUGUGUCUCUAUUUACUGCAGGUGAAUUAAAACCUCUGAUUUAAAGAGUC